rnacentral:rRNA from 1 species
UACGGAGGGCGCAAGCGUUGUUCGGAAUUACUGGGCGUAAAGCGCGUGUAGGCGGCCAGGUAAGCCGGAUGUGAAAGCCCGGGGCCCAACCCCGGAACUGCACCCGAUACUGCCUGGCUGGAGUCCCGGAGAGGAUGGCGGAAUUUCCGGUGUAGAGGUGAAAUUCGUAGAUAUCGGAAGGAACCCCAGUGGCGAAGGCGACCAUCUGGACGGUGACUGACGCUGAGACGCGAAAGCGUGGGGAGCAAACAGG